AACUGAUACUACCUGCGGGAACCUGCGGAAGGAUCAUUACCGAGUUUACAACUCCCAAACCCAUGUGAACAUACCUAUCGUUGCUUCGGCGGGAUCGCCCCGGGCGCCUUGUGUGCCCCGGAUCCAGGCACCCGCCGGGGGACCUUAACUCUUGUUUUAUUUAGAAUCUUCUGAGUAGUUUUUACAAAUAAAUAAAAACUUUCAACAACGGAUCUCU
rnacentral:misc_RNA from 1 species